CCACACUCUUCCGUCUUCCGGAAGCGGAGCGCCGGACCCGCAACGGCUGAGCGUGCGACAGCUGCAGUGGCGGGCACGGCGGAAGCGAGGAGGACGGAAGGAGACCCGGGCCCGGCUCCCGCGCCGGGGUGGAGCGCCAUGGACGAGGCAGGCAGCUGCGCGAGCGGCGGAGGCUUCCGCCCGGGCGUGGACAGCCUGGACGAGCCGCCCAACAGCCGCAUCUUCCUGGUGAUCAGCAAAUACACGCCGGAGUCGGUGCUGAGGGAACGCUUCUCGCCCUUCGGGGAGAUCCAGGACAUCUGGGUGGUGCGGGACAAACACACGAAGGAGUCCAAGGGCAUCGCCUUUGUCAAGUUCGCUCGCAGCUCGCAGGCCUGCAGGGCCAUGGAGGAGAUGCACGGCCAGUGCCUCAGCCCUAACGACACCAAACCCAUCAAGGUUUUCAUUGCUCAGUCCAGAUCAUCUGGAAGUCACCGAGAUGUUGAAGAUGAAGAACUUACAAGAAUAUUUGUUAUGAUACCAAAGUCCUACACGGAAGAAGAUCUGCGGGAAAAAUUUAAGGUGUAUGGAGAUAUCGAGUAUUGCAGCAUUAUUAAGAAUAAAGUCACUGGAGAAAGUAAAGGUUUGGGCUAUGUUCGAUACUUAAAACCAUCACAAGCUGCCCAAGCAAUAGAAAAUUGUGAUCGAAGUUUUAGGGCUAUCUUGGCUGAACCUAAAAAUAAAGCAUCUGAAUCCUCAGAACAAGAUUAUUAUAGUAACAUGAGGCAAGAGACUUUGGGACAUGAACCUAGAGUAAAUAUGUUUCCAUUUGAACAACAAUCUGAUUUUUCAAGUUUUGACAAGAAUGACAACAGAGGCCAGGAAGCCAUCUCCAAACGCCUGUCAGUGGUGUCAAGAGUUCCUUUCACUGAAGAGCAGCUUUUCAGCAUUUUUGAUAUAGUACCAGGAUUGGAAUAUUGUGAGGUUCAGCGAGAUCCUUAUUCUAAUUAUGGUCAUGGAGUGGUUCAGUAUUUUAAUGUAGCAUCAGCUAUUUAUGCAAAAUACAAGUUACAUGGAUUUCAGUACCCCCCUGGAAAUCGGAUAGGUGUUUCCUUCAUUGAUGAUGGGAGUAACGCAACAGAUCUCCUUAGAAAAAUGGCAACGCAGAUGGUAGCUGCACAGCUUGCGUCAAUGGUGUGGAAUAACCCAAGUCAGCAGCAAUUUCUGCAAUUUGGAGGAAGUUCUGGAUCACAGUUGCCUCAAAUCCAGACAGAUGUUGUACUUCCAUCAUGCAAAAAAAAAGCCCCUCCUGAAACUCCUGUGAAAGAAAGACUUUUUAUCGUGUUUAAUCCUCAUCCUUUACCUUUAGAUGUAUUGGAGGAUAUAUUCUGUCGUUUUGGUAACCUGAUCGAAGUUUACCUUGUGUCAGGAAAAAAUGUGGGGUAUGCCAAGUAUGCAGAUAGAAUAAGCGCUAAUGAUGCCAUUACUACUUUACAUGGAAAGAUCCUGAAUGGAGUCAGACUUAAAGUUAUGCUGGCGGAUUCCCCAAGAGAAGAAUCUAACAAACGGCAAAGAACUUACUGAGUCUUGAGCAUUUUCCCUCCAGAAAUUCAGUACCUGCUUGCAUCAUCCUUCUGAAACAAAGACUAAAUAAUGACAUAAUCCUCAGCUGACUGACUGAAAAUGUGACUGGACGCACUCCCUGUGGACAGUUGACAGCUUUUUUUUUCAUAUACCUGAUAGUCUGUGUACAUUGUUUUGUCUGGGGAGCAGGAAUUGUUGACUUGUAUUUUUGAAUCCACACAUUAAUGCUAAAACUAAUAUGGUAGUUGUUUCUUAGAGCAACAUGUUGUUAUGUGUAGCAGAAAUAAAGUUUUCUUUGCUUAACUAAA